rnacentral:rRNA from 1 species
UCCUACGGGAGGCAGCAGUCGGGAAUAUUGCGCAAUGGGCGAAAGCCUGACGCAGCCAUGCCGCGUGUGUGAAGAAGGCCCUAGGGUUGUAAAGCACUUUCAAUUGGGAGGAAAAGCUAAUGGUUAAUAACCAUUAGCCCUGACGUUACCUUUAGAAGAAGCACCGGCUAACUCCGUGCCAGCAGCCGCGGUAAU